GAAUGAUAGAACUUUAGUGUUGGGCUCGUAGAAGUGUUUAAAUCUAAACCCUACAUUGUAGGGAGGUAGAAACUGAUCAAGGAAUAAAGUAACUCAAAGUUACCCAGCCAGGAAGAAGUGUCUAUAAUUUGCCAGUCACUGGGUACUGGAAAUACAGCAAACACAUUUAAAAAAAAUCGUUGCUAUGAUGGAGUUUACAUUCUAAUGGGAAGAAACACAUAGCAAACAAAUACACCAGUAAAAUAUCUACUAUGCCAGAUGGUGCUAAGAGGUAUGGAGAAAAAUACAGCAGAGAAGAGUGAUAAGGAGAACAGGAGGAGAGAGUGAUGUUAUUUCAAGUUUCUUGUGAGGAAGUGGCCAUGAAGAGAAUUCCAGAUGGGGCAGCGGCAAAUGGGGAGCAUGCUUGGACUUGGGCUGCUCGAGGAACAACAAGAAGGCUGAUGUGGCUGAGAAUAGUGAGCAAGGGGGCAAAGACACAGGAUGAGGAUCAAGAGGAGCCAGAUGACCCUGGCCGUCUUAUCCAUCAGUCAGCGCAUUAGAUCAACCUCAUUGCCUCAAGAGGCUCAUUUAAUGAUGAGUCUAAUAUCUUCCUGUGGCCAUGACUAAUUUCAGAGACCUAUCAACUAGAGAUAUGGGAUGGAGUGUAAAAUGUGUUGGACUGGGAAUGACUCUCCAGGUGCAAGUCCAUCCCCUAAUUAUAAUUAGCUCUGUUAUUGAACUUGUUUAAGCUUCCUUUUCCUUCUAAGAGGGGGAUGAUGUGAACUAUCCCAGGGAUUUUAUGAGGGCUGAAGAAGACAACAAACAAGAAAGCAGUUUGUAAGUGGACAUUGUGAGUAAUUGAAGUCAGUCAGUCAAUAAAUAUUUUUUUCAUCAUUAUUGUGAACAAGGGGUUUCUCCCUUCUGAUGUUUACAGCACUGCUUUCUUCUGUCUGACAAGAUGUGCAGAGAGACUCCACACCUUUGGAGAAAAACGAGAGAAAGAAAAGAUGUUCCUCUUUGUCUGUAUCUUUCUACCAUGAUCUUCAACUUUAUCCCUCACCUGCCAGCAACAGAAUGUGGGAGAUUAUUAUGAUCAGUGUGGUCCUCAGUUAACCCUCUGAUUAAAUACAGCUUAUUGUCUUCACUAUCAGGGCAAGAGCAGUGUGAUCAUGGUGUGACUACUGGUGUUGGAAAGAAACAGUCUUACCAGCUAUGAAAUUUAUAAUGUAGAGAUUCUCUGAAGUUUUAAAUGUAUGGGUAUUGACAUGGUUGUGUUUCACAGCUGUCUAUCAUAGCAACUUCCAAAUCCUUCCAUGGAAUUCUUUCCAUGGAAUUUCUUCAUUGAAAUUUUAAAAUAAAAAUUAUUUUUUAGGGAAACUAUUAUAAACUUGAAACUUCACAUACAGACAAGAAUUGAACCUCCUUUAAUCUAG
rnacentral:lncRNA from 1 species